rnacentral:rRNA from 1 species
UGAGGAAUUUUCUACAAUGGACGAAAGUCUGAUAGAGCAAUACCGCGUGAGGGAUGACGGCCUACGGGUUGUAAACCUCUUUUCUCAAGGAGGAAGAUCUGACGUUACUUGAGGAAUAAGCAUCGGCUAACCCUGUGCCAGCAGCCGCGGUAAUACAGGGGAUGCAAGUGUUAUCCGGAAUUAUUGGGCGUAAAGCGUCUGCAGGUUGAUAUGUAAGUCUUUUGUUAAACCUCUGAGCUCAACUCAGAACCUGCAAAAGAAACUACAUAUCUUGAGUAUAGUAGGGGUAAAGGGAAUUUCCAGUGGAGCGGUGAAAUGCGUAGAUAUUGGAAAGAACACCAACAGCGAAGGCACUUUACUGGGCUAUUACUGACACUCAGAGACGAAAGCUAGGGGAGCAAACGGG